rnacentral:misc_RNA from 1 species
GGAAUAGAAAGCUUAACAAGAAUUGUUUUUGCUAUUCCAAAAUUUUCAGCCAACGUUCCUUCAAGUUCCUAAUUAAUCAACUUUCUGCAAGUGCUAGAAUUUGAAUCAUUUUUAUGGUCUUACCACGGAUUAAGUAUUUCUUUUUUACCCAGGAAAGCAGAGAAGAUUUGCUAGAAGAGGACAAGAUGCUGUCUCUUCUAAUGGAUAUGGGUUACUCCUUUGAGGAAGCUCUGAUGGCAAUGGGAAAAUGUGGUUCUAAUGCCCAUUUAGAAGAGCUGACAGAUUACAUAUGCGCUGCUCAAAUGGACAAAGAAUUACCUUUUGAAGAUGAUGUGAUUUCUUGUUCUGAUCCAAAGAUAAGGACAGAGGAUUUUCUUUGUAAAAAGAAGAGGAGGAUUCACCCGACCGAGAUAUCUAUACGCCAAGGUUGUAAAGGAAGGGAGAAGAAUCCACUGGAAGGAUAUGAGGAGACAAUUUACAUCCCUAAUCCAAUGAUAGGGUUUGGAAUUCCUGAUGAACCAUGGCGCAUUAUAGAGAGAAAGCUUCCAGUGCUAGCUGCUGAUCCACCCUAUUUUUAUUAUGAAAAUGUGGCCCUAACUCCCAAGGGUGUAUGGAGUACAAUAUCUCGCUUUUUGUAUGACGUUGAGCCGGAGUUUGUUGAUUCUGUAUAUUUCUGUGCUACUGCAAGAAAAAGAGGUUAUAUUCACAACCUUCCAAUUCACAAGCGAUUUCCUCUUCUGCCAAGACCACCAUGCACUAUACAAGAAGCCUUACCUUCAACCAAGAAAUGGUGGCCUUCCUGGGAUGCAAGAACAAAGCUAAAUUGCCUUCUGACUACCACUGGAACUGUCAAACUUACAGAGAGGAUAAGACAGGCACUUGAAGAUUGUGGUGGCAAUCCCACUCCAAACGUCAGAAAGUAUGUGCUUGAUCAAUGCAGAAGGUGGAAUUUGGUUUGGGUUGGAAAAAACAAAGCAGCAGCUCUUGAACCUGAUGAAAUGGAGAUGCUUCUAGGAUUUCCAAAGGACCACACUAGGGGUGGUGGGGCUUGUAGGCAGGAUAGAUAUAAAGCACUUGGAAAUUCUUUUCAGGUUGAUACAGUUGCAUACCAUCUCUCGGUCUUAAAGGCUCAAUUUCCAUAUGGCAUCAAUGUCCUCUCACUUUUCUCUGGCAUUGGUGGUGCUGAAGUAGCCUUGCAUCGACUUGGGAUACCCCUAAAAAAUGUGGUCUCUGUUGAAAUUUCGGAAGUGAACAGAAAUAUUCUCCGAAGUUGGUGGGAGCAAACAAACCAGAGGGGACGUCUCAUUGAAAUUGCAGAUGUCCAAGAAAUCAAUGGUGAUAACCUCGAACGGUGGAUCAGCUCAUUUGGCGGGUUUGACCUUGUGAUUGGAGGGAGUCCAUGCAACAACCUUUCUGGUGGCAACAGAGUGAGCAGAGAUGGACUCGAGGGUAAACAAUCUUCUCUGUUCUAUCACUACUUCAGAAUUCUAGAGCUCGUAAGAUGUACAAUGCGGAAUGGCUAAGGAUUUCAUUUGAGAGGCUUACAAUUUAAACAAUACAAAAUUGAUUCAUUACUUUUUGUUCUUUUCUAAUGACUCAUCACUUGGUGUCUAGGUGUCUGAAAAGUUUGUAAGGAGUGGAAUUUUUUUUAUCUUCCAGUUUGCAGGGACAAUUUAGCUGCAGAAACUGUAAAUUGUUGCUUCAUCC